UUCCUCCAGAUUCCUUAUCCCUCAAACCUAAAUGGUGAUCUGGGUGGUUUUAAAAGGAAGAAAAAGAAAAGUAAAAUUGAAAUGGACUUGGAUUCUCGAAUGACAAGUUCAUCUCAAAAAAAA
rnacentral:snoRNA from 1 species